AGGUGUUUGAAAACCAAAUAGGGGUCCAAAAUUUGAAAAUUCAGAUCAAUGAUCAACCUGUUGAACCUAAGGGAUCUAGAUGAUUACCUCUGACAUCUUGAGGAGAGUGCAUGCUGCAUCUGAGAAAAAGGAACAAAAUCACCUACCACAAGGAUGAAAGAGAAAAAGGCCACAAAUGGAUGACCUGCAGAACUGGUAUUUCCCAGUUAACUACUCCAGCACCAUUCUGUGUGAUCCUGUGUGUGCAUGGAAUGUUAUCCUGCUGAUAAAACACCACGUGGCUGUGUGUUCUCAGUGGUUCUCAGCCCUGUGGUUUGUGAUGGGAUCCACACCUGAUGUUUUGCAAAAGGGAAUCUGGUUGGAAGGACCACUAUGAAAUGAAUAAAGUGAAAGAAACAGAAUGUGGCAGUGGAAAUCCAUUUCACAGAGGAAAUUCGAAUGAAGUGGCUGUGACUCAUCAGAAGAAAUCUGACCAAAUCAGCCAGAGUUAGCAGAAUUUGAGAGCAGUAGGGUUGUUCAGAUCUUCAAUCAACAAUCAUUUUCUAAAGUUAUCAUCACUGGCCUCAGAAAUAAAGGAUUUGGAAAGGAAUUGCAAACCGCAGUAAAUACUUACUUGAGUGAGUAUUAAUUUUAGUAUUGUUUCUUGUUAAUUCUUAUUGUUAAAAAUACAAAAUUGAAGAAACUUCUUCAACAUUUGUGACUUUGUUUUACCGCUGGCAGAUGCAAAAGGGUCAUUCACAUUAGCUAAAGAGAGAGUAUUAUUGCUUUAUUUAGGUUGGCAGAAAAUUACAUGUUCCAUAUAAAAUGUCUGAGAUUUAACAGGUCAACCUCUUUUGAACAUUAUGUGUAGGUGUUUUGUUAUUAUGUUCCACUGUUUUGAUGAGUAUUUUCGAUAGGAUAGAUAUAUGUUCUGAGAGAAGAAGCUGCUGAAAGAGAAUUUGAGAAGAGCCUGUAAAAGACCUGAGCUUAUAUGGAAGAAUCAUUUGAAACCAUUACUCAACAGCCAAAUUUAGAGCUGUUUUAACAUUACUCUCCCAGUAGAUACUCUCACAGUAAUUGUGCUGACUUUUGGAAGUCACUGAUCUGAGAUGUUUCCUCUGAGACUUUACAUCUGCAGUCUGUUUCAGAGCUAGGACCCUGCUCUCAAGGUUGAUGACUUAGGAAAUCUAUGUUUUGUUUCAAUAGACUUCCCAGAGGAUUUUAUCAGCUGAAAUAAUCUUUCCCCUUCUACUUAAAACACAGCUUGGGUCUGUUAAGUCCCUGCACAAAGAGCGUAAAAUGUGUGUCAGUUCAUUUUUUUACUUUUAGUUAACUCCUUUAGUGUCAACAAGGACUUUUCCUAGAGUUAACUACCUUGUACUGAAGAGUCAAGACCACCCAUUUCAAGACUUGUUUCAGGCAGAGUAUGUGCAACACAUCUGAGGCAUCAGCUUGCCCACAGCCCUUCCUUCCUUGUUGCUGCAGAAGGAGAACAUCUACAGGAACAAUUCAGCAGGGGUAAGAGGAGUAAAACCCAGACUAAACCCAGACUUGCAGAACCAGCUCACUGAGCCAGCAUUGUGUCCCUGGGUGCUUCAGAGGCUCAGUGUGUGCCCAUCAACACUGCCUGUCUGCCCUAACCCUGAAUUAUCCUGCACCACCUGAGUAAAGUGCCAUUGUAUUGCCAGCUCUCAUACCCACCUCUCCAGGGCAAAGGCAGGCAGGCAGCGAGGAUGAGUAAAUCCAAGAGGAAUUGUGUUUGUAAUGCUGCACUCCUUGUGCCUCACAGAUCUGUCUGGGAGCCACCAUGCAAACACAGGCAUCGUCCCAGCCCCACAAGGCUGUGGCUUGGAGGUGAAUUCUGUCAGAACUCAAAAUGUCCCUCAGACAUUUUUGGAGGUU